GGUAGUUCAGUUGGUUAGAAUGCCAGCCUGUCACGCUGGAGGUCGAGGGUUCGAACCCUUCCAGGUCGCCA
rnacentral:tRNA from 1 species